AGUGAACGCUGGCGGUAGGCCUAACACAUGCAAGUCGAACGGCAGCACAGUAAGAGCUUGCUCUUACGGGUGGCGAGUGGCGGACGGGUGAGGAAUACAUCGGAAUCUACUUUUUUGUGGGGGAUAACGUAGGGAAACUUACGCUAAUACCGCAUACGACCUACGGGUGAAAGCAGGGGAUCUUCGGACCUUGCGCGAUUGAAUGAGCCGAUGUCGGAUUAGCUAGUUGGCGGGGUAAAGGCCCACCAAGGCGACGAUCCGUAGCUGGUCUGAGAGGAUGAUCAGCCACACUGGAACUGAGACACGGUCCAGACUCCUACGGGCGGCAGCAGUGGGGAAUAUUGGACAAUGGGCGCAAGCCUGAUCCAGCCAUACCGCGUGGGUGAAGAAGGCCUUCGGGUUGUAAAGCCCUUUUGUUGGGAAAGAAAAGCAGCAGGUUAAUACCCCGCUGUUCUGACGGUACCCAAAGAAUAAGCACCGGCUAACUUCGUG
rnacentral:rRNA from 1 species